AUUGAACGCUGGCGGCAGGCUUAACACAUGCAAGUCGAGCGGGGGAGGUUGCUUCGGUAACUGACCUAGCGGCGGACGGGUGAGUAAUACUUAGGAAUCUGCCUAUUAAUGGGGGACAACAUCUCGAAAGGGAUGCUAAUACCGCAUACGCCCUACGGGGGAAAGCAGGGGAUCACUUGUGACCUUGCGUUAAUAGAUGAGCCUAAGUCGGAUUAGCUAGUUGGUGGGGUAAAGGCCUACCAAGGCGACGAUCUGUAGCGGGUCUGAGAGGAUGAUCCGCCACACUGGGACUGAGACACGGCCCAGACUCCUACGGGAGGCAGCAGUGGGGAAUAUUGGACAAUGGGGGGAACCCUGAUCCAGCCAUGCCGCGUGUGUGAAGAAGGCCUUAUGGUUGUAAAGCACUUUAAGCGAGGGGGAGGCUCUCUUGGUUAAUACCCAAGAUGAGUGGACGUUACUCGCAGAAUAAGCACCGGCUAACUCUGUGCCAGCCGCCGCCGUAACAC
rnacentral:rRNA from 1 species